GGGGUUGUGGCUCAGCGGGACAGCACACCUCUAGCACAUGUGAGGCCCUGGGUUCCAUCCUUAGUACCCCCA
rnacentral:tRNA from 1 species